CCUUCAGCGCCGCGGCUCAUGAUGUGCCUGGAGAGCGACGGCUCGUCGGGCAGCGGCCCCCCCGGCUGCGGCGGACGCCUUCGGGUCUCGGCGGCGGCGGCGGUGGUGGCGGUGGCCGGCGACGACGACGAGGAGGAAGACGACGGCGGCGGCGGCGGCGGCGGCGGAGACCGGGGUUGUUGCGGACGGGGCGGCGAGGUGCAGACGCUCUCCGGCGCUCUCCCGGCGCCCGGCGGAGGAGGCAAGAGCGCAGCCAACGCCGAGCGGGGCUGCCAGGCGGCGCCCGCCGCGGCUCCCAGCCUGGGUAGAGCCCGCGUGGCCGCCGCCGCCAUCCUCAGCAUAGGCAACGUGCUCAACUACCUGGACAGGUACACCGUGGCAGGUGUUUUGCUAGAUAUCCAGCAACAUUUUGGGGUUAAGGACAGCGGAGCCGGCUUGCUACAGACAGUUUUCAUCUGUAGCUUUAUGGUGGCAGCCCCAAUAUUUGGCUAUCUUGGUGACCGUUUCAACAGGAAGAUUAUUCUUAGCUGUGGGAUCUUCUUCUGGUCAGCCAUUACCUUCUCCAGCUCCUUCAUCACUGAACAGUACUUUUGGCUGUUCGUCCUCUCCCGAGGUUUGGUUGGUAUCGGCGAAGCUAGUUACUCUACCAUCGCUCCAACUAUUAUCGGAGAUCUCUUCACCAAAAACACUCGGACACUUAUGCUGUCGGUCUUUUAUUUUGCAAUCCCUCUGGGCAGUGGCUUAGGAUAUAUCACGGGAUCAAGUGUCAAGCAAGUAGCUGGAGAUUGGCACUGGGCCCUGCGGGUUUCUCCACUUUUAGGUAUGAUCACAGGGACACUUAUAUUAAUAUUUGUACCAGCUGCUAAAAGAGGCAACGCUGAACAACUGGGGGCACAGCUGAAGGCCCGGACCUCCUGGCUGAGGGACAUGAAGGCCUUGAUAAGAAAUCGCAGUUAUGUGUUUUCGUCCCUGGCUACCUCUGCUGUUUCCUUUGCCACGGGAGCUUUGGGGAUGUGGUUCCCUGUUUACCUGCAUCGGGCCCAAGUUGUUCAAAAAACAGCAGAGAUUUGCACUUCACAGCCCUGUGGGACUAAAGACAGCUUGAUCUUUGGAGCCAUCACCUGCUUCACUGGAUUUCUGGGCGUGAUCACUGGGGCUGGAGCUACCAAGUGGUGCCGGGUGAAAACACAAAGAGCGGAUCCUCUAGUUUGCGCUGUCGGGAUGCUGGGGUCAGCCAUCUUUACCUGCUUGAUUUUCGUUGCAGCCAAGAACAGCAUUGUAGGAGCCUAUGUCUGCAUUUUUAUUGGUGAGACUCUUUUGUUUUCAAACUGGGCCAUCACAGCUGACAUUCUUAUGUAUGUGGUUAUUCCUACACGCCGAGCAACAGCCGUAGCGUUGCAGAGCUUCACCUCACAUCUUUUGGGAGAUGCUGGAAGUCCCUACCUGGUUGGAUUUAUCUCUGAUGUGAUACGGCAGAGCACAAAGGAGUCGCCACUCUGGGAAUUCCUCAGUUUAGGCUAUGCGCUGAUGCUGUGCCCUUUUGUUGUGGUCCUCGGGGGGAUGUUUUUCCUGGCCACGGCCCUCUUCUUCCUAAGCGACAGAGCCAAAGCCGAGCAACACACGGAUUUGGAUCAUCUCACCAUUGGCAACUCCAGUAACUCAGAAGAUGCUACCACAUGAUAGGCAGAAGAGAUUUUUGGGGGUAAACCAACUUAUGAUGCCUCCAACCUCAGUGAAAGUUUAAGGACAGCGCUGACAUCUCGGGCAAUGAAGGCAAUCUUUCGUAGCUGCCACUAAACCCCAAAAUGAGCACCUGUGGAAGACAACCCCCCCUCCUCCUCCCCACUCCUCAUGUUUGGAGCCAGAGGAAAUCCAGACUCUCGGACACAAUGGAUUGGUGGUGUUUCAGCAGAAUGAAGGUGUCUGCUGGGCACACAAGGAGCCUUGUAGUCUGCAGAAGCAUGGAUGACAACUUGCUCCCAAUCUGGAUGGAUGCUGAUUCUUUCAUCCUCCCAUCUCCCAAAAGGGACAUCUGGAGAACUGAAUAUACUUGAUUUUUCAUCCAAGGAAGACACACCCACUUCUGCUAACGGAGCAAGCAUCUAACACUAUUUAACACCCUUGCUUUGGUCAGCAAUCCUGUCUUCAGGUAGAGACAUUAUACCAGCCUCCCCAAAGCAGUGCUUUGCCAUCUGAUUAGAGCUCCCCAGAUAUGAUUUCUGCUCUUUAAUAAUGCAGUAGGAUACCAUUUUUUUCUGCAAGACACCAAAAAGAUUGGAUUAGCUGGAUAGUUUUUUUUUUCCCUUUUGCUUUACCUAAGACUGUCAUUUGCACUAGCAGUUUACUGCUGGGGCUACCUCAGACCUAUCAAUUGGGUUUUUGGUUUGUUUGUUUUUUGGUCCAGCAUGACUGGAUAUUUAUAAUUUUCCAAGGGGAAUGUCAGGGUUUUUUCCCCCCAAGUCUCUUGAGAAACGGGGAGACAUGACAGCAAGUGUUUACUAUCAACAGUUCUACCAAUGAUUCUCCAGGCCAAAAAAAAAGAAGAAGAAAAUUACUAGACUGAUCAUUUCCAGUGGCAAUAUCCUCCUCACUCCUUUUUUAAAAGAGAGAAGGUUGUUUUUCUGUUUACAAGCUAGAGCGGAGAACGGCCUUAAAAUCCCAUCCUAAAUUUUGCAUAGAUGUUGAAGUUCUUUGCUCCUGAGGGAGAUAGAUGGCUUCUGUUUCUGAGAAGGUGGUAGGCAGUUCAACCUUUUGGCUUUGAGAAAGGACACGUGGCUGCAAAACCCCGUUAAUCCCAACCAGUCCUCUGUUCAUCUCAUCUCUUUUCCACGAGAUCUCCAGGAAACUGACAGCCUUCCAGAUGUCAAAAGUAGAGACGGAGCAGAAAUAAGUUCCAUCUGAAAUGGAUCUUGGCUAUAGUUAAGUUUCAAACAGCAGAUUUCAAUAGAUUUUCCUCGCAUACACGUGCCGUGCACGCAUACACAGUUUUCAUUAACUCAUCUUCAGCAUGGAUAGUAGCUCCACAUUGCAGGACUAUUUCCUUUCCUGUCCCUGUAGAGUUAUCCAGAUUUGCAUGGCAGCAUCAGUCAAUUCAGUUGCUCUCAUUCUGAAGCGAAAACGUUGCAGGAUCAGUGUCUGGAAUCCUCCAGCUCCUUCUAAACUUCACCGGCCCUGAUAUGAUCUGCAAAAAAUUGUUCCCUGCCCUCUUUUUAGGAUCCAAUUUAGCAUGUAACUUUGUUCCAAAUCAUUGUAGUAGGGAAUCUAAACGGCACUAAGGCAAGCAGACUAACCCAGCGCUGGAUCCGAUAAUGCCAGCAAGAGAUCUCCCAGCCAAAGAAGACAGCUAACUCCAACAGAUAUGGCCAGUCGUUCUGAAACUCAAGAUUGCUUGCCGGAAUCCAUUUAGCAGAAAAAAGCAUUUUGUUUUGGUCCUCUGCUGACCCAGUGGCAGGUGCCAUCUUGAAGGAAUCCAAAAAUUGUAAAACUAGGGCAAAAGAUAUGACUGGGGAUGCUAAACCAGGCUUUGAGAGAAUGAGAACCAGUGACUAAGUUUGGAGGUUAUACCAAAGUGGAAGAAAAAGAUCUUUCUUGAGCAGACAUCAAUAAAUAUUGAAAAGGGCCUCGGUUUUCUAUUGUCUCUGAAUCUCGGUCAUGAAGGGAAGUCAACCCAGCUCUCCUCCUAAAUGAGACUAAUUAGUUUUCAAAGAUCCCAGCAAGAUGGGAUCUUGCCAACUCCCCAUUCCAUCUUCCAGCCAGGCCUGAUUUCGAGGAAUUGGCAUUUCUGUUCUCAGACUUUUCACAAAAAGAGACGUUUUAAUGAUCACUUUGACAAGUGGAAAGCACGGAAGCGUGAUACUAAUGUUUUUCUUGUUAUACAAGGCAGGACUCCAAUUGUUUUUUCUGAUUUUCUUUCAGAAGCAAAAAUCGAACAAAUGGCUAUUUUAUUUUUUAAAGGACAGUGAAAUUGAUUAUGGAUCUCAGAGUAUAAAAAUAAAGCAGUCAAAUAUAUAUAUAAAUGAAUAUAUAGAUAUAUAUAUAUGUAUACGCAUACAUAAUGUAAAUUAAGAAAUAAAACAUAUUUAAACAGUG